CCUACGGGAGGCAGCAGUGGGGAAUAUUGGACAAUGGGCGCAAGCCUGAUCUAGCCAUGCCGCGUGAGUGAUGAAGGCCCUAGGGUUGUAAAGCUCUUUCACCGGUGAAGAUAAUGACGGUAACCGGAGAAGAAGCCCCGGCUAACUUCGUGCCAGCAGCCGCGGUAAUA
rnacentral:rRNA from 1 species